UGUCAGGGACCUCUGUGAUGCUUGUAGA
rnacentral:piRNA from 1 species